UUUGACUCAGUCCCUUUAUUAAUCUGGGGUCGCCACAGCGGAAUGAACCGCCAACUUAUCCAGCAUAUUUUUUACACAGCGGAUUCAUGCAGCAUACAUUGACUUUGCCAGUGUGGACUUUUUUUCUGCAACUAGUGGGUAGCACAUUCGCCUCAUAGCAACAAGGUCACUUGAUCGAUCCUUGGCUGGGUCAAUAGGCCUUUCUGUGUGGAGUUUGCAUGUUCUCCCCGUGUUCGCGUGGGUUUCCUCCAGGUGCCCCGGUUUCCAAAGACGUGGUAAAGGAGCGAACUUUUCCUCGUUUUUAGGUCAAUUUGAAUACAAUUCAGAGGG
rnacentral:lncRNA from 1 species